rnacentral:tRNA from 1 species
GCGGGGAUGCCCGAGCUGGUCCAAGGGGGCGGACUCAAGAUCCGCUGGCGUAGGCCAUCCGGGGUUCAAAUCCCCGUCCCCGCA